CAGAGUUCUCGCCCCUCCGGGUAGAUCUCCCACCCACUGCGAUUGCUACCGUGUUGCUUUGGCGGGCCGCUGGGCCCCGGCCCGGCCGCCGGCUCCGGCUGGCGCGCGCCCGCCAGAGGCUCCGCAAACCCUGAACGUCUGUGUCGUCCGAGUACCAUACAAUAGUUA
rnacentral:misc_RNA from 2 species